rnacentral:tRNA from 1 species
GGACUCGUUGCAUAGCCAGGAUAGUGCGGGCGGCUUCGGACCACCAGGUCGUGGGUUCGAAUCCCACCGAGCCCU